AUUCGGUUGAGACCAGUAACCAGAAUAACCGAACAUUUACCACUCGCUCAUUCUUGUUCGUCUGUUUUCCCCCUUCUACCUCUCGCUCGCAUGUUCUUCCUCCAGUUCUUCUGAUUGUAUCCCUUGGGUUGCGGUUGAGCAAAGCGAGACCAUAACACUUCCUCCAACUCGACGACUCGACGGCGACGCAACUCGCCGCGGCCUUCCUCACCUCGUCUCCCUCCCACGGCGGCCACUCCCGCGCACGAUGGCGGCGCGUAAGGAGUGGAGCAUGUCCGACUUCGAGAUCGGCAGGUACAUCGGCGAGGCCGCGAGGGCAAGUUUCGCCCGCGAGAAGAAGAGCGGGUACGUGGUGGCGCUCAAGGUGACGUACAAGGCGAAGCUGGGUACCAGUUCCACUCGCACCUGCGGCGGGAGAUUGAAAUCCAGAAAGGGCUCGAUCACCCCAACGUGCUCCGCCUCUUCGCCUGGUUCCACGACGAAGAGCGCGUCGUCCUCGUCCUCGAAUACGCGGCCCGUGGUGAGCUGUACAAGGUCCUCCGCACCGCUGGCCGCUUCACCGAGCGCACCGCCGCCACCAUAAGGACCCCUUGCCCCUGUUCCUUUUGCUUCACUGUUAAUUUUGCCCCAAACGUUUGUACCUCCGGCUGGAUUGGACCCGUUGCCCUUCCUUCUACUGUUUAUGACUUAAAUUAUGUUAGCCUGAACCCAUAAUAUUAGAGGCAAGGCUCUUGUGGCAGCAAUUGUUUAAUAUUUGUUAGGGAAAUACUGCAGGCUACUCUAACGUUACUUUUAUUAUUUAUUAAAACAAAACCAAGAUGAAAACGGCAGAGGAAAAGGAAGGAGAAAGAAAAGCACCUUAUCCGCUUCCUUCGUCCUAAAUUACCAUUCGUUUUGGUUUUUCUAGAUACAUAGCUUUUGCUACGUAUCUAGACAUAUAUACAUCUAGAUCCAUAACAAAAGUUUUGUAUCUAGAAAACCCAAAACAAAUAGUAAUUUGGGACGGAGGGAGUACUAACAAAGUUUCAGAGAACUAGUCCAUGAGACGAUUAGGUCUUAAGUUGGCAAUUCUAUGACAUUACUUCUACUCGACUCCUGAAAGACAUCAAGAGGAUCUUCAGAAAUGCCACCAACUUGAUUUUACUCUGAUACCAUGUAUAACUCAUUAAUUGCUGAUUCCUUGAUACUGGUUUCCUGUGCAUUGGAAACAAGUAGAAGUUACAGUUCAUAAAAAAGGCGGUUGAAGCAGCAAAUUCUUUGAUAUUAAAAAACUUUGAGUUCCAUUUUAUAAUUUGUCAAAAUGGUUCUUGGGUUUUAUAGACUUUUGUAUUUUCUGAUUGCAACAUUAAGUAUCAGAAACUCUGCAAUACAAGGCAAAGGAUCAAUCCCGUUCUACAAGUUAAGCUGAAACAAAGUUUUCCACAAACAGCGACCACAUGAAGUGCACUCUGCGGUUUACUCCACUCGACCUAUACAUUUACACAUGAAACAAUGUGAGAAUACAUUGCAUUUCCUUUAGCAUGAACACUGCAGCUUUUGAUAAUGCCAUUAAUGGCCAAGAACAUGUGCUGGCAACUGGCAUUGCCAUAACAGUUCCUAGAAUAUGAUAUACAUAUGCAGGCUUCCUUCUGAUUUGCCAUUCUUUUGUUAGAUUCUGACGGCUCAACGCCGCAAGCCUUGCUGGUGCACUGGCGCACUGUCACAGGAAGCAGGUCAUUCAUAGGGAUAUCAAACCAGAGAAUCUGCUACUUGAUAUCGAGGCUGAUGGUCUUCUUUCUGUACCGUGCACACCAUAAGCUCUGAUAGAACCACUGCUGUAAGUUUGCUCAAGAAUCUA